UGCUACUCCUCUUCGGAUGAAGAGAUGGAGGAAAGCCGUUACAGACAAUGACCCAAAACACACUGCCGCCCGGGUUUGCAUUACAAAUGAGGGCAUAAACUGGGUCAAGACACCAGCAGAGUCUCCUGAUUUUAAAACCGAUCAAACCUGUUUGGCAAUAACUGAAAACAUGAAUCCGUAACUCUGCCAAGCCRACAAGCAAAGAUGAACUGGCGAAGGCCAUCAAGACGUUUUGGCUUGAGAAAUUGACGAUACAACAAUGCAACCAAUACAUUGAUCAUCUCAGCAAGGUUUAACCUGUGGUCAUGGAGCUGGGGGGGG